rnacentral:lncRNA from 1 species
GUUGAUCGAUCCAAGGUCGUGCACAUAGGGUCUAAGACGGAAGAGAACUUCCUGCCCCUCUUGGAGCUUCUAUUUUAGAGGGAGACACGGCCAGACAGGUCUCGAACUCCUGGCCUCAAGUGAUCCGCACACCUUGGCCUCCCAAAAUGCUGGGAUUCCAGGCGUGAGCCACCGCGCCUGGCCUGGAGCCAGGGCCCCAUAUUAUCUACCGCUGUCCAUCUGCUCUCCAGCACAUCAGAGCAGCCCUUCCCCUGUGUGAGAUUCCUCUCCAGGGCAAGACUUGAAGGGAGCAUCAAGGUUGCAGUGGAAGAAAUAAAUUGGAAGUGGAGCUGG